AUUGAACGCUGGCGGCAGGCCUAACACAUGCAAGUCGAGCGGAGCGGCGGACGGGUGAGUAAGGCCUAGGAAUCUGCCUGGUAGUGGGGGAUAAGGUACGGAAAUGGGCGCUAAUACCGCAUCCUAUCAGAUGAGCCUAGGUCGGAUUAGCUUGUUGGUGGGGUAAAGGCAUACCAAGGCGACGAUCCGUAACUGGUCUGAGAGGAUGAUCAGUCACACUGGAACUGAGACACGGUCCAGACUCCUACGGGAGGCAGCAGUGGGGAAAAUUGGACAAUGGGCGAAAGCCUGAUCCAGCCAUGCCGCGUGUGUGAAGAAGGGCUUCGGAUUGUAAAGCACUUUAAGUUAGGAGGCGUUACCCACAGAAUAAGCACCGGCUAACUUCGUGCCAGCAGCCGCGGUAAUAC
rnacentral:rRNA from 1 species